UAAUACGGAGGGUGCAAGCGUUAAUCGGAAUUACUGGGCGUAAAGCGCACGCAGGCGGUUUGUUAAGUCAGAUGUGAAAUCCCCGGGCUCAACCUGGGAACUGCAUUUGAAACUGGCAAGCUAGAGUCUCGUAGAGGGGGGUAGAAUUCCAGGUGUAGCGGUGAAAUGCGUAGAGAUCUGGAGGAAUACCGGUGGCGAAGGCGGCCCCCUGGACCGAAGACUGACGCUCAGGUGCGAAAGCGUGGGGAGCAAACAGGAUUAGAUACCCUGGUAGUCCACGCUGUAAACGAUGUCGAUUUGGAGGUUGUGCCCUUGAGGCGUGGCUUCCGGAGCUAACGCGUUAAAUCGACCGCCUGGGGAGUACGGCCGCAAGGUUA
rnacentral:rRNA from 1 species